rnacentral:rRNA from 1 species
GGACGAACGCUGGGCGGCGUGCUUAACACAUGCAAGUCGAACGGUGACGAGGAGCUUGCUCCUCCGAUCAGUGGCGAACGGGUGAGUAACACGUGAGCAACCUGCCCCAGACUCUGGGAUAACAGUUGGAAACAGCUGCUAAUACCGGAUACGAGACGGAGAGGCAUCUCUAUCGUCUGGAAAGUUUUUCGGUCUGGGAUGGACUCGCGGCCUAUCAGCUAGUUGGUUAGGUAAUGGCUCACCAAGGCGACGACGGGUAGCCGGCCUGAGAGGGCGACCGGCCACACUGGGACUGAGACACGGCCCAGACUCCUACGGGAGGCAGCAGUGGGGAAUAUUGCACAAUGGGCGAAAGCCUGAUGCAGCGACGCCGCGUGAGGGAUGACGGCCUUCGGGUUGUAAACCUCUUUCAGCAGGGAAGAAGCGCAAGUGACGGUACCUGCAGAAGAAGCACCGGCUAACUACGUG